CGUACACCUGGUCUGAAAACGACUGGAGUCUGAAACACCUUGGACUUGCUGAAGGCAACGUAGUCUACCUGCGGAUGCUGUGAACUAGGAGCUGACCAAAAAGUGGGAGAGCUCCAGGAACCCUCCCUGGAAAAGGUUGGGGAGCAUGGCUGCUAAGAAACUAAGAAGAGCACAAUUGUCUCAGGAGCUGUGUGAAAGGCUGAGUCGCUGUCAGAUCACUACCUGUCAGGACUUUUUAUGUCUUUCACUCUUGGAGCUAAUGAAAGUGACGGGACAGAGCUACUAUGAGGUGCAGAAGCUUCUUUGUAAAGUCAGCCGAGCUUGUGCUCCCAAAAUGCAGACAGCUUAUGAAAUGAAAUUAAAGAAGUCUGUCAGUCCCUCUUCAGCCUUUUUAUCUACCACGCUGCAUAGUUUGGAUAGAGUCUUGCAUGGUGGAGUGCCUUGUGGGUCCCUCACAGAGAUAACUAGCCCACCAGGUUGCGGCAAAACUCAAUUUUGUAUUAUGCUGAGUGUUCUGGCUACACUGCCUGUAAGCAUGGGAGGACUAGAUGGGGCAGUUAUAUACAUUGACACAGAGUCUGCAUUCAGUGCUGAAAGGUUGAUUGAGAUAGCAGGAAACAGAUUCCCUACUUAUUUUGACUCAGAUGAAAAGGUGUUCUGCAUGACCCGUAGCAUUCACCUCUAUCGAGAGCUGACCUGUUGCAGUGUACUCAAGAGGAUUAUGUCUUUGGAAGAAGAAAUUAUUUCAAAGAAAGUUAAACUCAUAAUAAUUGACUCUGUUGCUUCAGUUGUCAGAAAGGAGUUUGACACAAAACUUCAAGGCAAUCUGGCAGAGAGAAGUAACUUUUUGACUAGAGGAGCAUCAGUGUUGAAGUAUUUGGCAGAGGAGUUCUCAAUACCAGUUAUCUUGACAAAUCAGAUUACCACAUCCCUGAGCAAUGGCCCUGCAAUCCAAGCAGACCUGGUGUCUCCAGCUGAUGAUUUGUCCCUGUCUGAAGGGGCUUCCAUAAGUGGAAAGAGGGAUUCUGGUUGUGUGACAGCAGCCCUUGGCAACACGUGGAGUCACAGCGUCAACACCAGGCUCAUACUACAAUAUCAUGACUUGCCAAAAAGACAGCUCCUGGUUGCUAAAUCACCUGUUGCUCCAUUCUCCGCUUUUUUCUACACCAUUGAGAAAUCAGGCUUGGUUCUUCAGGACACUACAGAAAAAUUAUAAUAAUCACUGUUUCAUCUGAACCGAGGAAUCUUGUCUCCAUUCCAGUUCAUUUUCCACUCACAACAAUCAAUCUUCUUCUAUCUCUACAGUGAUGGCAGUUCAUAGCAAAUUAUCUGCCAUGUGGAUGGAAAGGGUCAAACAAAUUUAAUUUGGGAAGGAACCAAUCCUGCUCUGCAGCCCAUACGAGUGAGGAGCACUGCCUUGAAAGAUACUUUACCUAGCACUACUGGAGAGACUUCAAGCAAUACAUCCAACCUAUAGAAAGGACCAGUGGAAACUCCCCAAAGAAAAGAAUAAAUGAUGACAUUGUUUUUCAAAA